GCCCAAAUCACAGCCAAUAAAUAAUACUAAAAUUUAUAAUGAACCAAACCAAAACAUUUGCCCCGAUCAGUAAAUGCGAUUGAUCCUCACCAUUGACCUUACAAGUACCGCAAGGGAAUAAUGAAAGAACAAUGAAAAACUCUAAGCAAAACAUAGUAAAGAUUGACCCUUGUACCUUUUGCAUCAUGGUUUAGCUAAACCACCCCAGACAAAGAGAGCUUAAGCCUGCCCCCCCGAAACCAAACGAGCUAUUUUUGGGCAGCUGUUAACAAGAGCACACCCGUCCCUGUAGCAAAAGGGUGGGAAGACCUAAAAAUAGAGGCGAAAAGCCAACCGAGCUUGGUGAUAGCUGGUUACUCAACAAAAGAAUUUAAGUUCAUCUUUAGGUUAAUUAAAGUCACACUUAAUGACACCCCCCCGCCUAAACAAAAUCAAUGGGGGUACAGCCCCAUUGAACCGGAAUACAGCCCGAACCGAGAGAACUUUCCCCUUUCCACUUCCUAGUAGGCUUCAAAGCAGCCACCAAAAACCGCGUUAUAGCACUUACUGUAACAAUACCAACAACCUAUAAACCCUCCCGAACCACCCUGAGUUAUUCUAUUCUUCUAUAGAAGCAACAAUGCUAAAAUUAGUAAUAAGAAAUAAUAAUUUCUCUCCGCACCCCUAUAAGCCAGAAUAGAAAAACUACUGACAAUAAACAAACAACGACCCCAACAUAUCUAGACCCCACGUCACCUAAACCUGUUACUCCAACACAGGCGUGCAAAAAAGAAAGACUAAAAACUGUAAAAGGAACUCGGCAAUAAUCUAGUCCCAACUGUUUACCAAAAACAUAGCCUUUAGCUUUACAAGUAUUAAAGGUCCCGCCUGCCCAGUGACUUUUUAAACGGCCGCGGUAUCCUAACCGUGCAAAGGUAGCAUAAUCACUUGUCCCCUAAAUAGGGACUAGAAUGAACGGCUAAAUGAGGACUAAACUGUCUCUUACAGUCUAUCAAUGAAAUUAAUCUUCCAGUACAAAAGCUGGAAUAAGCUCAUAAGACGAGAAGACCCUGUGGAGCUUUAAAACCAAACCACAAAACCUUUAUGCCUCCUGGUUUUUUAGUUGGGGCGACUUCGGAGCAAAAAAAACCCUCCGAAAACUUUUAAUCAUCAAGAUCAACACACCAAAAAUAACUCUUACGACCCAGCAGCUUCAUAAACAUACCUGUCUGAUCAAUGAACCAAGUUACCCCAGGGAUAACAGCGCCAUCCCCUCCUAGAGUCCCUAUCGACAAGGGGGUUUACGACCUCGAUGUUGGAUCAGGACACCCCAGUGGUGCAGCCGCCAUUAAAGGUUCGUUUGUUCAACGAUUAAAGUCCUACGUGAUCUGAGUUCAGACCGGAGUAAUCCAGGUCGGUUUCUAUCUAUGCGGCACUAUCCUCAGUACGAAAGGACCAAGAUAGUGGGACCAAUACCAAAAGAACGUCCCAAUUUAACUAUUGAUUUCCACUAAAAUACUUUUGCCCCCCUCCCGCCCAAAACUGGGCUUA
rnacentral:rRNA from 1 species